CCCUUAGAUGUCCGGGGCUGCACGCGCGCUACACUGAAGGAAUCAGCGUGCUAGAAAACCUUGUUUGACAUGGCUAGGUAACCCGUUGAAAAUCUUUCGUGAUUGGGAUCGGGACUUGCAAAUGUGUCCCUUGAACGAGGAAUUCCCAGUAAGUGCGGGUCAUAAGCUCGCGCUGAUUACGUCCCUGCCCUUUGUACACACCGCCCGUCGCUGCCCGGAACUGAGCCGUUUCGAGAAGACUGGGGACUGCGAACUUUGGGCUGGAAAACAGCUUUUUGUUUGUGGAAACCACUUUAAUCGCAGCGGCUUGAACCGGGCAAGAGUCGUAACA
rnacentral:rRNA from 1 species